UACAGAGGUCCCAAGCGUUGUUCGGAUUCACUGGGCGUAAAGGGUGCGUAGGUGGUGGGGUAAGUCGGAUGUGAAAGCUCCGAGCUCAACUCGGAAAUGGCAUUGGAAACUACCUUGCUCGAGGGUUUGAGGGGGGACUGGAAUACUUGGUGUAGCAGUGAAAUGCGUAGAUAUCAAGUAGAACACCAGUGGCGAAGGCGAGUCCCUGGAAAACUCCUGACACUGAGGCACGAAAGCUAGGGGAGCAAACAGG
rnacentral:rRNA from 1 species